rnacentral:lncRNA from 1 species
AACUCAAAUAGUCCUGUGACUCCUCACUAGGACUACCCUGGCCAAAGUUUUACUAAAUUGAAACACGACUGUACACAGCUUCUGAACUGGAGUGGUCAAUCCCGUCUUGACACACGCACUGACAAGUCAAGUACUUGACUACACCCAGUAGCCUUCCGUCACUGAAUUAGAAAUUUAGGUAGUCCAAUGCCUAAGUGUAGUGAGUUGCUUGCAAGUCACCAUGGUGGUC